rnacentral:rRNA from 1 species
UACGAAGGACCCAAGCGUUAUCCGGAUUUAUUGGGUUUAAAGGGUGCGUAGGCGGGUUAUUAAGUCAGUGGUGAAAGCCUUCAGCUUAACUGGAGAAUUGCCAUUGAUACUGAUGAUCUUGAGUAUGAUUGAGGUGGGCGGAAUGUGUCAUGUAGCGGUGAAAUGCUUAGAUAUGACACAGAACACCGAUUGCGAAGGCAGCACACUAAGCCAUAACUGACGCUGAUGCACGAAAGCGUGGGGAGCAAACAGG